rnacentral:rRNA from 1 species
UACGGAGGGGGGCAAGCGUUGUUCGGAAUUAUUGGGCGUAAAAGGGGUGCGUAGGCGGUCUGACAAGUCUGAAUGUGAAAAUCUAUGGGCUCAACCCAAUAGCCUGCAUCGGAAACUGUCGGGCUUGAGUAUGGGAGAGGUGGAGUGGAAUUUCCGGUGUAGCGGUGAAAUGCGUAGAUAUCAGGAGGAACAGCCCCGUGGCGAAGGCGGCUCUCGUGGGUCCGCCCUGGACGCUGAGGCGCGAAAGCGUGGGGAGCGAACGGG